CCUACGGGGGGCAGCAGUGAGGAAUCUUGGUCAAUGGGCGGGAGCCUGAACCAGCCAAGUCGCGUGAGGGAAGAAGGUACUGAGUAUUGUAAACCUCUUUUGCCAGGGGACAAGUGCGGCAGCGGGUGACCGUAAGAGGGUGCCUGGAGAAAACGCAUCGGCUAACUCCGUCCCAGAAGCCGCGGUAAUCCGGAGGAGGCGAGCUUUAUCAGGUUUUAUGGGGUUUAGGGGGUGCGCAGGCGGCGGUUCAAGUCAGCGGUAAAAUGUCGGGGCUCAACCCCGGCCGGCCGUUGAAACUGGCGUGCUUGAGUUGGGGAGAGGUAUGCGGAAUUCGUGGUGUAGCGGUGAAAUGCUUAGAUAUCACGAAGAACCCCGAUUGCGAAGGCAGCAUACCGGAUCCACACUGACGCUGAGGCACGAAAGCGUGGGUAUCGAACAGGAUUAGAUACCCUAGUAGUC
rnacentral:rRNA from 1 species